rnacentral:rRNA from 1 species
AGUUACAAGGUUUCCGUAGGUGAACCUGCGGAAGGAUCAUUACCGAGUGAGGGCCCUCUGGGUCCAACCUCCCACCCGUGUUUAUUUUACCUUGUUGCUUCGGCGGGCCCGCCUUAACUGGCCGCCGGGGGGCUUACGCCCCCGGGCCCGCGCCCGCCGAAGACACCCUCGAACUCUGUCUGAAGAUUGUAGUCUGAGUGAAAAUAUAAAUUAUUUAAAACUUUCAACAACGGAUCUCUUGGUUCCGGCAUCGAUGAAGAACGCAGCGAAAUGCGAUACGUAAUGUGAAUUGCAAAUUCAGUGAAUCAUCGAGUCUUUGAACGCACAUUGCGCCCCCUGGUAUUCCGGGGGGCAUGCCUGUCCGAGCGUCAUUGCUGCCCUCAAGCACGGCUUGUGUGUUGGGCCCCGUCCUCCGAUCCCGGGGGACGGGCCCGAAAGGCAGCGGCGGCACCGCGUCCGGUCCUCGAGCGUAUGGGGCUUUGUCACCCGCUCUGUAGGCCCGGCCGGCGCUUGCCGAUCAACCCAAAUUUUUA